rnacentral:rRNA from 1 species
UACGAAGGGGGCUAGCGUUGUUCGGAAUUACUGGGCGUAAAGCGCACGUAGGCGGAUAUUUAAGUCAGGGGUGAAAUCCCAGAGCUCAACUCUGGAACUGCCUUUGAUACUGGGUAUCUUGAGUAUGGAAGAGGUGAGUGGAAUUCCGAGUGUAGAGGUGAAAUUCGUAGAUAUUCGGAGGAACACCAGUGGCGAAGGCGGCUCACUGGUCCAUUACUGACG